UGGCGGCGUGCCUAAUACAUGCAAGUAGAACGCUGAAGGAGGAGCUUGCUUCUCCGGAUGAGUUGCGAACGGGUGAGUAACGCGUAGGUAACCUGCCUGGUAGCGGGGGAUAACUAUUGGAAACGAUAGCUAAUACCGCAUAAGAGUAGAUGUUGCAUGACAUUUGCUUAAAAGGUGCAAUUGCAUCACUACCAGAUGGACCUGCGUUGUAUUAGCUAGUUGGUGGGGUAACGGCUCACCAAGGCGACGAUACAUAGCCGACCUGAGAGGGUGAUCGGCCACACUGGGACUGAGACACGGCCCAGACUCCUACGGGAGGCAGCAGUAGGGAAUCUUCGGCAAUGGACGGAAGUCUGACCGAGCAACGCCGCGUGAGUGAAGAAGGUUUUCGGAUCGUAAAGCUCUGUUGUAAGAGAAGAACGAGUGUGAGAGUGGAAAGUUCACACUGUGACGGUAUCUUACCAGAAAGGGACGGCUAACUACGUG
rnacentral:rRNA from 1 species